GCUUUAUACUGCCUUCCCGAACUUUUCAGUAAAAAUAUAUGCUCGGUCUUGGUUUCAUGCCUCAGCUUUAGAAAAGCCUGAUGUGGCUUAAAUGUGUGAGCAAGAGGAGUUUGUAAUUGGAAAGACAACUGCAACUUCUGGAGAUGGUUUGCCGCUAGUGAUACUGUAUUGUCUCUUGAUAAAUCCAGCUUCUGAGUUGUCUCCACGCUCCCACCAUCACUGUCUACGACUGUGAUCUCUGCUUUCUCAAUGUUGAUAGAUCCGGUGAUAUAUGUCAGUGCUUUUAUCUGUCCACCAGUAGCAUAUGUAUUCACAUGUUCAGGAUCAUGAAGCAAAAUCUCGAAAACUAACGUAUAUUUUCCGACAUCUAUAUUCAGAGGCAGGAUAUCCAAGUAGUGUACACCAUUUUCAGGGUCAAAUGUGAGCUCCUGACUCUCAACAAUUG
rnacentral:misc_RNA from 1 species